CCUACGGGGGGCUGCAGUGGGGAAUAUUGGACAAUGGGGGGAACCCUGAUCCAGCCAUGCCGCGUGUGUGAAGAAGGCCCUCGGGUUGUAAAGCACUUUCAGUGAGGGGGAACGCCUGGUGGUUAAUACCCAUCAGGAAAGACAUCACUCACAGAAGAAGCACCGGCUAACUCCGUGCCAGCAGCCGCGGUAAUACGGAGGGUGCGAGCGUUAAUCGGAAUUACUGGGCGUAAAGCGCGCGUAGGUGGCUUGAUAAGCCGGUUGUGAAAGCCCCGGGCUCAACCUGGGAACGGCAUCCGGAACUGUCAAGCUAGAGUGCAGGAGAGGAAGGUAGAAUUCCCGGUGUAGCGGUGAAAUGCGUAGAGAUCGGGAGGAAUACCAGUGGCGAAGGCGGCCUUCUGGACUGACACUGACACUGAGGUGCGAAAGCGUGGGUAGCAAACAGGAUUAGAUACCCCUGUAGUC
rnacentral:rRNA from 1 species